GACGAACGCUGGCGGCGUGCUUAACACAUGCAAGUCGAACGGAAAGGCCCUGCUUUUGUGGGGUGCUCGAGUGGCGAACGGGUGAGUAACACGUGAGUAACCUACCCUUGACUUUGGGAUAACUUCAGGAAACUGGGGCUAAUACCGGAUAGGAGCUCCUGCUGCAUGGUGGGGGUUGGAAAGUUUCGGCGGUUGGGGAUGGACUCGCGGCUUAUCAGCUUGUUGGUGGGGUAGUGGCUUACCAAGGCUUUGACGGGUAGCCGGCCUGAGAGGGUGACCGGCCACAUUGGGACUGAGAUACGGCCCAGACUCCUACGGGAGGCAGCAGUGGGGAAUAUUGCACAAUGGGCGGAAGCCUGAUGCAGCAACGCCGCGUGCGGGAUGACGGCCUUCGGGUUGUAAACCGCUUUCGCGUGUGACGAAGCGUGAGUGACGGUAAUGGGUAAAGAAGCACCGGCUAACUACGUG
rnacentral:rRNA from 1 species